UCACUUGAUACAAAGACAAAUUCUUCAUCAUCUUUGACUUCAAUCUAUGUGUUGCAUGGGAAAGUGCCUCACAACCAGAGGGUCUGCAGCAAGAACAAUGUAGAUACCUAAGAGAAUGCAAAGUAUUACCUGGUGACUGAGAAACAGAAUCCGACAGAGUUUCCCACUAGUUUUCAACACUUUCCUGAAUUCCCAGAGUGGCAGUGAAGUAUGUCACAAAAAAGGAACUCAUGCAUCACUUACCAAUUCCAGAUGUCCCCUGCACCUACUGUUCUCACUAUUUAAUCA